CGCGUCCGUGGCCAGUAUGUCAUCCCACCCCGGCCAAGAUCUCCUUCCCCUGCGCGCGCCGCCGCCAACCUCGGCCCGCGCCCUCCAAGCCGGCGACCUCCGCCACCUCCCGAGGCGUGCCCGGUGCCGCCGGCCCCCUCCGAGCCCCGAUCCAAUCGUCCACUGAGGAAUCCCCUCCUCGCUCCGUCAGCUCCUCCCGCGCCGCCACCAUCUCGCGGGGCCCUGCCGCCGAGUUCUCCCGACGCUCGAUGAGGGCGUCCCCUCCAGUCGCAGCUGUCGCCGGAGCGGAAGGGGAGACCAGUUCCCAUCGGCCAUCGUGCGUCUCCUCGCCUCCUAGAAAGAGGAAAACCCCGCAUCGCUCGCUGCCGCCGCCGCGUCAUCCUCCCCCGGCAUAUGCGUCCCUCGCCGUCGCCUUGCACCUUGCCUAAGAGCCUCUGCCGACUCCGUUCUGCUCGCCCGCGUCCGCACCGCUGCCGCUGAAACAAGGCGCCUUCCUUCCUUGCCGCCUCCAUGAGGCCGCUCCACUGCAGGCUGGCGGCGCGCCUGAGCUCCGUCCUGGCGAUCUCCUCCUACGUGCUCGCCGGGAACAAGGCCGCGCCCGCCGCCGCCGCGCAUCUGUUGUAUGACCUUGCCAACUCCUAUGAACAGUUUGUGCGCAAAGUUGAGAAAGUUGGAACCAUUAAUCACGUUAGAGCCGCGGAGGCUCGGAAGGAGACGAGUGGCCGGAGGAGGUGGAGAGAGGCAGAGAUCCAUGGCUGCACCUGGCUCCUUAGUCCCGGCUCACUCGAACCAAAUUGCCCCGUGAUGGAUGUGCAUCGAAAGGAUCUGGACAUACAAACUUUAUAUCAUUGAGAUAUCUUUUAUUGUGUUUGCUAUUUGGGGCACUUGAUAUGCCUCCUGCUUGUCUGACUAUCUUUACAAAUUAAUUCUUCAGACAAAUGGUACUCAACUCAAAAUACAAUGGUGGCAGAACAGGUACUCCUUGAGUCCUUGAUAUCUACUAUGAGCAGCCAAAAUUACUGAUCUGAAUGUGUACUUCACUCAAUCAUGUCACUGGCAGUUAAAUUGAUUCAUGCAGUAGAUCCUUUACAGCAGCCGCUUUUGUGCUACACCAAGUAAUUUCAUAGUGCUAGCACAUAGAAGCUUCUCUAGAUAGCACUGGGGCUGAUUCAGUUAUAUAGGUAAAGAAAAUAAAAGGUUAUAAUGCAUCACAGGAGCAGGGCAAGAGUAGUAAGGUGAAGGCUUAUUCCCUUGCACUAAUCAAUCAUUGGCUAGCUGGAUAUGAAAUCAGCCGGUCAGCGUCUAUGAUACAAUUAAUGCAAGUUCUGUAUGGUUUCUUUUUAUUGGGUUGAUAUUUAUGCAUUCAUAAAUUGUUUCUUCAGAAUUUUAAUCCAGAUGUGAAGUGGCAAGGAUGCAUUAUCUAGAAUGAGUCUAAUCAUGAAUAGACAAGUCAAUGAAAUCCAUCUUGGUGAUUAAGUUUAUGAAUCAAAAUUAUCUACUAACUGCAGAAAGGAAGAAAACAAGUCACAGUUAUUCUCUCGGUUGUGUUCAUUUCCAGUGUGGGUUUGCUCUGCAUUUUCAUACUUGGAGCAAAUAGGACAAGCUAUAAAUCCUUUUGCUAGACUAUUACAUCUUAUCUACUACCUGAAUUGAAGCUAUAAAUAACUUUGCUACCUGUUAGCAGCAGCAUGGUUGUCUUUAUCUACACUGCCGGUAAAAUUGUAUGCUUAUUGCGAUCCUCAAUUAACGAAAAGUGGAAAUGAACAAAUAAUUUCUGUAUACUUGCGACCGUACCAGGGACAAAAAAGUUUGUUCAUUUGCUUGAUAUUGUACUUUUUAUUGCAUAUAUAGUUUUGCAUGAAGCAGGUAAAUGAAAUUUUCAGUGUUAUGGGGAUGCAUGAAACCAUGCGCCAACUUUGUUCUCAGGUAAUAGGGGAGGGAAUAAAGCUGCCACUGCUCACACAGCACACCAAUUUGUUGAAUGUGCAAGCGAAGAUACUAUUGUCAUACUACAUGUCUACAUACAUAGUACAUAGUUAGCAUCUCGGUCACCAAGGAGGGUGUGAAGUUCUCCACUUCUGGAGACAUUUGAACUGCAAACAUUUUUGCAAAACAAGACGGUUGAUAUCUCUGUUACGGCCACUAAUUGGUACCAUGAAGCUUUACACAUCCUUCAAGAAGGGUGGCAAGUGGCAACGUGCUCAAGACGGCGCAGGGUGGCUUCGAUCUCAGCAAGAUCAUCGACAUCAUCGUCUCCUCUGGGUACACGUAGCCAAAACUGGAAAACAAGAAAUUCUCAGGCGAAUGCUUGUUGACGCACAUGGCAAGUGAAGUAUUUCCCUGCUACCAUCAAAGCUAUAGCUGGAUGAUCCUCGGCAUUACUGGUUCAACUCAGAGCUUUUUUUCAGCCCGGUUUGCAUUGCUUUGUAUGGUGUAGGGGAUCUUUUGUUGUUUUAGAUUACUCUUUUCUUUUUUAGUUUGUACUCAUAUACACAACAUGGUUUCUCAAUUUCUUUAAUACAAAUAGGAAGCGCUCUGCAUGUAACCACAUUCAUUUCCCAAAAGGAAUUUCUCAUGUUGCAAAUUAUGAAAUGGAUAUUUGUAAGCCAUGGGCGGCUGUCUUGA